UCUCCGUAGGUGAACCUGCGGAGGGAUCAUUACAGAGUUCAUGCCCUAACGGGUAGUUCUCCCACCCUAUGUUAUCAUCACUUUGUUGCUUUGGCGGGCCGUCAGGCCUCGGCUUGGCUACCGGCUCUCGCUGGUAAGCGCCCGCCAGAGAACCCCAAACCCUGAAUAUCAGUGUCGUCUGAGUACUAUAUAAUAGUUAAAACUUUCAACAACGGAUCUCUUGGUUCUG
rnacentral:misc_RNA from 1 species